rnacentral:rRNA from 1 species
CAAUAGCGUAUAUUAAAGUUGUUGCAGUUAAAAAGCUCGUAGUUGAAUUUUUGCUUGCCGCCGAUGUCGGAACUUCCGUACGUUCGGCGGCGUGCAUCCUUGGGUGGAACCUGUGUGGCAUCAGGUUGUCGUGCAGGGGAUGCUCAUCGUUUACUGUGAAAAAAUUAGAGUGUUCAAAGCAGGCUUACGCCGUUGAAUAUAUUAGCAUGGAAUAAUAAGAUAGGACCUUGGUACUAUUUUGUUGGUUUGCGCACCGAGGUAAUGAUUAACAGGGACAGUUGGGGGUAUUCGUAUUCCAUUGUCAGAGGUGAAAUUCUUGGAUUUCUGGAAGACGAACUACUGCGAAAGCAUUUACCAAGGAUGUUUUCAUUAA